CUCGUAGGCGGCCAACUCAGUCAGACGUGAAAUCCCUCGGCUUAACCGGGGAACGGCGUCUGAUACUGGAUGGCUUGAGGUUGGGAGAGGGAUGCGGAAUUCCAGGUGUAGCGGUGAAAUGCGUAGAUAUCUGGAGGAACACCGGUGGCGAAGGCGGCAUCCUGGACCAAUUCUGACGCUGAGGAGCGAAAGCCAGGGGAGCAAACGGGAUUAGAUACCCCGGUAGUCCUGGCCUUAAACGAUGAAUGCUUGGUGUGACGGGUAUCGAUCCCUGUCGUGCCGAAGCUAACGCAUUAAGCAUUCCGCCUGGGGAGUACGGUCGCAAGGCUGAA
rnacentral:rRNA from 1 species